CCUACGGGGGGCAGCAGUGGGGAAUAUUGGACAAUGGGGGGAACCCUGAUCCAGCCAUGCCGCGUGUGUGAAGAAGGCCCUCGGGUUGUAAAGCACUUUCAGUGAGGAAGAACGCCUGGUGGUUAAUACCCAUCAGGAAAGACAUCACUCACAGAAGAAGCACCGGCUAACUCCGUGCCAGCAGCCGCGGUAAUACGGAGGGUGCGAGCGUUAAUCGGAAUUACUGGGCGUAAAGCGCGCGUAGGUGGCUUGAUAAGCCGGUUGUGAAAGCCCCGGGCUCAACCUGGGAACGGCAUCCGGAACUGUCAAGCUAGAGUGCAGGAGAGGAAGGUGGAAUUCCCGGUGUAGCGGUGAAAUGCGUAGAGAUCGGGAGGAAUACCAGUGGCGAAGGCGGCCUUCUGGACUGACACUGACACUGAGGUGCGAAAGCGUGGGUAGCAAACAGGAUUAGAUACCCUAGUAGUC
rnacentral:rRNA from 1 species